rnacentral:rRNA from 1 species
CCUACGGGUGGCAGCAGUGAGGAAUAUUGGUCAAUGGGCGGGAGCCUGAACCAGCCAAGUCGCGUGAGGGAAGACGGUCCUAUGGAUUGUAAACCUCUUUAGGCGGGGAGCAAUGCCGGGCACGUGUGCCCGGAGGGAGAGUACCCGCAGAAUAAGCAUCGGCUAACUCCGUGCCAGCAGCCGCGGUAAUACGGAGGAUGCGAGCGUUAUCCGGAUUUAUUGGGUUUAAAGGGUGCGUAGGCGGAUUUUUAAGUCAGCGGUAAAAGGUCCGGGCUCAACCCGGGCCGGCCGUUGAAACUGGGGAUCUUGAGUGGGCGAGAGGUAUGCGGAAUGCGUGGUGUAGCGGUGAAAUGCAUAGAUAUCACGCAGAACUCCGAUUGCGAAGGCAGCAUCCCGGCGCCCGACUGACGCUGAGGCACGAAAGCGUGGGGAUCGAACAGGAUUAGAUACCCCUGUAGUC